rnacentral:rRNA from 1 species
GACGAACGCUGGCGGCGUGCUUAACACAUGCAAGUCGAACGGAAAGGCCCUGCUUUUGUGGGGUGCUCGAGUGGCGAACGGGUGAGUAACACGUGAGUAACCUGCCCUUGACUUUGGGAUAACUUCAGGAAACUGGGGCUAAUACCGGAUAGGAGCUCCUGCUGCAUGGUGGGGGUUGGAAAGUUUCGGCGGUUGGGGAUGGACUCGCGGCUUAUCAGCUUGUUGGUGGGGUAGUGGCUUACCAAGGCUUUGACGGGUAGCCGGCCUGAGAGGGUGACCGGCCACAUUGGGACUGAGAUACGGCCCAGACUCCUACAGGAGGCAGCAGUGGGGAAUAUUGCACAAUGGGCGGAAGCCUGAUGCAGCAACGCCGCGUGCGGGAUGACGGCCUUCGGGUUGUAAACCGCUUUCGCCUGUGACGAAGCGUGAGUGACGGUAAUGGGUAAAGAAGCACCGGCUAACUACGUG